GCGCAUGCUUUAAAUAUUAAAGAUUUAUCGCUUUGAGAUGGGCCCGCGGCGCAUUAGCUAGUUGGUAAGGUAAUGGCUUACCAAGGCGACGAUGCGUAGCCGACCUGAGAGGGUGAUCGGCCACAUUGGAACUGAGACACGGUCCAGACUCCUACGGGAGGCAGCAGUGGGGAAUAUUGCGCAAUGGGGAAACCCUGACGCAGCAACGCCGCGUGAGUGAUGAAGGUUUUCGGAUCGUAAAACUCUGUCUUCUGGGACGAUAAUGACGGUACCAGAGGAGGAAGCCACGGCUAACUACGUG
rnacentral:rRNA from 1 species